rnacentral:rRNA from 1 species
ACUGCAGUCGAGCGGACAGAAGGGAGCUUGCUCCCGGAUGUUAGCGGCGGACGGGUGAGUAACACGUGGGUAACCUGCCUGUAAGACUGGGAUAACUCCGGGAAACCGGAGCUAAUACCGGAUAGUUCCUUGAACCGCAUGGUUCAAGGAUGAAAGACGGUUUCGGCUGUCACUUACAGAUGGACCCGCGGCGCAUUAGCUAGUUGGUGAGGUAACGGCUCACCAAGGCGACGAUGCGUAGCCGACCUGAGAGGGUGAUCGGCCACACUGGGACUGAGACACGGCCCAGACUCCUACGGGAGGCAGCAGUAGGGAAUCUUCCGCAAUGGACGAAAGUCUGACGGAGCAACGCCGCGUGAGUGAUGAAGGUUUUCGGAUCGUAAAGCUCUGUUGUUAGGGAAGAACAAGUGCAAGAGUAACUGCUUGCACCUUGACGGUACCUAACCAGAAAGCCACGGCUAACUACGUGCCAGCAGCCGCGGUAAUACGUAGGUGGCAAGCGUUGUCCGGAAUUAUUGGGCGUAAAGGGCUCGCAGGCGGUUUCUUAAGUCUGAUGUGAAAGCCCCCGGCUCAACCGGGGAGGGUCAUUGGAAACUGGGAAACUUGAGUGCAGAAGAGGAGAGUGGAAUUCCACGUGUAGCGGUGAAAUGCGUAGAGAUGUGGAGGAACACCAGUGGCGAAGGCGACUCUCUGGUCUGUAACUGACGCUGAGGAGCGAAAGCGUGGGGAGCGAACAGGAUUAGAUACCCUGGUAGUCCACGCCGUAAACGAUGAGUGCUAAGUGUUAGGGGGUUUCCGCCCCUUAGUGCUGCAGCUAACGCAUUAAGCACUCCGCCUGGGGAGUACGGUCGCAAGACUGAAACUCAAAGGAAUUGACGGGGGCCCGCACAAGCGGUGGAGCAUG